rnacentral:rRNA from 1 species
GGGCCCGCACAAGCGGUGGAGCAUGUGGUUUAAUUCGAUGCAACGCGAAGAACCUUACCUACUCUUGACAUCCACAGAAGCCGGAAGAGAUUCUGGUGUGCCUUCGGGAACUGUGAGACAGGUGCUGCAUGGCUGUCGUCAGCUCGUGUUGUGAAAUGUUGGGUUAAGUCCCGCAACGAGCGCAACCCUUAUCCUUGUUUGCCAGCACUUCGGGUGGGAACUCCAGGGAGACUGCCGGUGAUAAACCGGAGGAAGGUGGGGACGACGUCAAGUCAUCAUGGCCCUUACGAGUAGGGCUACACACGUGCUACAAUGGCAUAUACAGAGGGCAGCGAGGCAGCGAUGUGAAGCGAAUCCCAGAAAGUAUGUCGUAGUCCGGAUUGGAGUCUGCAACUCGACUCCAUGAAGUCGGAAUCGCUAGUAA